ACUUCCCCUAUUUAGUGCAAGUUUCGCCUUGCACUAAGCUAUAACAUCUCCCCCUUUCCCUUUCUUAUUAGGUUUAGGAUUACCUUCCUCCCUCUUCUUCCUUUGUUUGCAACAAACAGAUUCUUUCCUUAACCAACAUUCACCAUCAAUGGACUUUCUACUACUAUGCUCCCGAAUCCCAAACCCCACUGCAAGUGCAUAAUUGUUGUGAAACCUAUACCUUUCAUCUAACUAAUCAAACUCCAUUCUCAAUUUCGGUUUCAACUCUUCCUUUACUCUUGGUACCACAAAUUCAACCCUCCAUGCACCUAAUUCAUCCCCUGCAUCUACAUCCUCCCAGUCGAUGACAAUUUCUUCUACUUCUACCUCACCCCCAAUCAAAUUAUACUUCAAUGUCUACCUGUAACAAAGUUAUACAAGCACAACACAACUUAUCACAAGCCAGCACAACGUUUACACCUAUAUAUCUAAAAUCCACUUUCACAAUUUCAACCAAGUACACUGAUAACCACCGACCAUUAUGGUUUCAAAUCCCAGGUUUAAAAAAAACCACACUUGAAUGGAAAUGCAAUAU
rnacentral:lncRNA from 1 species